GCCCCAGUGGUCGAGCUGGUAAGACGCCCGUCACAAGGGAGGUCCCAGGUUCGAAUCCUGGUUGGGGUA